AGUGAACGCUGGCGGUAGGCCUAACACAUGCAGGUCGAACGGCAGCACAGAGGAGCUUGCUCCUUGGGUGGCGAGUGGCGGACGGGUGAGGAAUACAUCGGAAUCUACUCUGUCGUGAGGGAUAACGUAGGGAAACUUACGCUAAUACCGCAUACGACCUACGGGUGAAAGCAGGGGAUCUUCGGACCUUGCGCGAGUGAAUGAGCCGAUGUCGGAUUAGCUAGUUGGCGGGGUAAAGGCCCACCAAGGCGACGAUCCGUAGCUGGUCUGAGAGGAUGAUCAGCCACACUGGAACUGAGACACGGUCCAGACUCCUACGGGAGGCAGCAGUGGGGAAUAUUGGACAAUGGGCGCAAGCCUGAUCCAGCCAUACCGCGUGGGUGAAGAAGGCCUUCGGGUUGUAAAGCCCUUUUGUUGGGAAAGAAAUCCAUCUGGUUAAUACCCGGAUGGGAUGACGGUACCCAAAGAAUAAGCACCGGCUAACUUCGUGCCAGCCGCCGCGGUAA
rnacentral:rRNA from 1 species